UAAAAAACCGGACAAGUGCGAGUCGGACUCGCCCACCGAGAGUUCUGUACUUUUUAUAUUUGUUAAUAUAGUGGCAACAGAAAUAUAUCACCUGUGAAAAUUUCAACUGUCUAGCUAUCACGGUUUAUGAGAUACAGCCUGGCGACGGACAGACGGACA